rnacentral:rRNA from 1 species
AUUGAACGCUGGCGGAAUGCUUUACACAUGCAAGUCGAACGGCAGCACGGACUUCGGUCUGGUGGCGAGUGGCGAACGGGUGAGUAAUGUAUCGGAACGUGCCCAGUCGUGGGGGAUAACGUAGUGAAAAUUACGCUAAUACCGCAUACGAUCUAUGGAUGAAAGCGGGGGAUCGCAAGACCUCGCGCGAUUGGAGCGGCCGAUGUCAGAUUAGGUAGUUGGUGGGGUAAAGGCCCACCAAGCCAACGAUCCGUAGCUGGUCGGAGAGGACGACCGGCCACAGUGAAACUGAGACACGGUCCAGACUCCUACGGGGGGCAGCAGUGGGGAAUUUGGGACAAGGGGCAAAAGCCUGAUCCAGCCAUUCCGCGUGCAGAAUGAAGGCCCUCGGGUUGUAAACUGCUUCUGUAAAGAACGAAAAGGUUUCUACUAAUACUAGGAGCUCAUGACGGUACUGUAAAAAUAAGCACCGGCUAACUACGUGUCAGCAGCCGCCGUAA